UGGGGAAUUUUGGACAAUGGGCGAAAGCCUGAUCCAGCAAUGCCGCGUGUGUGAAGAAGGCCUUCGGGUUGUAAAGCACUUUUGUCCGGAAAGAAAUCCUUGGCUCUAAUACAGUCGGGGGAUGACGGUACCGGAAGAAUAAGCACCGGCUAACUACGUGCCAGCAGCCGCGGUAAUACGUAGGGUGCAAGCGUUAAUCGGGAUUACUGGGCGUAAAGCGUGCGCAGGCGGUUUGCUAAGACCGAUGUGAAAUCCCCGGGCUCAACCUGGGAACUGCAUUGGUGACUGGCAGGCUAGAGUAUGGCAGAGGGGGGUAGAAUUCCACGUGUAGCAGUGAAAUGCGUAGAGAUGUGGAGGAAUACCGAUGGCGAAGGCAGCCCCCUGGGCCAAUACUGACGCUCAUGCACGAAAGCGUGGGGAGCAAACAGGAUUAGAUACCCUGGUAGUCCACGCCCUAAAACGAUGUCAACUAGUUGUUGGGGAUUCAUUUCCUUAGUAACGUAGCUAACGCGUGAAGUUGACCGCCUGGGGAGUACGGUCGCAAGAUUAAAACUUAAAGGAAUUGACGGGGUCAUAGCUGUUU
rnacentral:rRNA from 1 species